AGAACGAACGCUGGCGGCAGGCUUAACACAUGCAAGUCGAACGGACGUAGCAAUACGUUAGCGGCGCACGGGUGAGUAACGCGUGGAUAUCUGCCUUUUGGUUCGGGAUAACCUUGGGAAACUAGGGCUAAUACCGAAUGGUUCCUACGGGAUAAAGAUUUAUCGCCAAAAGAUGAGUCCGCGUCCGAUUAGCUAGUUGGUGCGGUAAUGGCGCACCAAGGCGACGAUCGGUAGCUGGUCUGAGAGGACGAUCAGCCACACUGGGACUGAGACACGGCCCAGACUCCUACGGGAGGCAGCAGUGGGGAAUAUUGCGCAAUGGGCGAAAGCCUGACGCAGCGACGCCGCGUGGGGAUGAAGGCCUUCGGGUUGUAAACCCCUUUCAGCAGGGACGAAGCGAAAGUGACGGUACCUGCAGAAGAAGCGCCGGCUAACUACGCGCCAGCAGCCGC
rnacentral:rRNA from 1 species